rnacentral:rRNA from 1 species
UACGGAGGGAUCGAACGUUAAUCGGAAUUACUGGGCGUAAAGCGCGCGUAGGCGGUUUGUUAAGUGGGAUGUGAAAGCCCCGGGCUUAACCUGGGAACUGCAUUCCAAACUGACAAACUAGAGUAUGGUAGAGGGUGGUAGAAUUUCCUGUGUAGCGGUGAAAUGCGUAGAUAUAGGAAGGAAUACCGAUGGCGAAGGCAGCCACCUGGACCAAUACUGACGCUGAGGUGCGAAAGCGUAGGGAGCAAACAGGAUUAGAUACCCGGGUAGUCC